AUCGACGUCAUGCCACCCUGAACAAGCCUGAUCCCAUCUGAUCUUGGAAGCUAAGCAGGGUCAUGCCUGGUUAGUACUUGGAUGGGAGACCACCUAGGAAGACCAGGUGCUAUAGGCA
rnacentral:rRNA from 1 species